rnacentral:rRNA from 1 species
UACGUAGGGUGCGAGCGUUGUCCGGAAUCAUUGGGCGUAAAGCGCGCGUAGGCGGCCAGAUAAGUCCGGUGUGAAAGUCACAGGCUCAACCUGUGAAUGCCGCUGGAAACUGUCUGGCUAGAGUCCGGAAGGGGCGAGUGGAAUUCCUGGUGUAGCGGUGAAAUGCGCAGAUAUCAGGAGGAACACCAAUGGCGAAGGCAGCUCGCUGGAACGGUACUGACGCUGAGGCGCGAAAGCGUGGGGAGCGAACAGG